rnacentral:rRNA from 1 species
GAUGAACGCUGGCGGCGUGCCUAAUACAUGCAAGUCGAGCGAACAGACGAGGAGCUUGCUCCUCUGACGUUAGCGGCGGACGGGUGAGUAACACGUGGAUAACCUACCUAUAAGACUGGGGUAACUUCGGGAAACCGGAGCUAAUACCGGAUAAUAUAUUGAACCGCAUGGUUCAAUAGUGAAAGACGGUUUUGCUGUCACUUAUAGAUGGAUCCGCGCCGCAUUAGCUAGUUGGUAAGGUAACGGCUUACCAAGGCAACGAUGCGUAGCCGACCUGAGAGGGUGAUCGGCCACACUGGAACUGAGACACGGUCCAGACUCCUACGGGAGGCAGCAGUAGGGAAUCUUCCGCAAUGGGCGAAAGCCUGACGGAGCAACGCCGCGUGAGUGAUGAAGGUCUUCGGAUCGUAAAACUCUGUUAUUAGGGAAGAACAAAUGUGUAAGUAACUAUGCACGUCUUGACGGUACCUAAUCAGAAAGCCACGGCCAACUACGUG